rnacentral:rRNA from 1 species
GGAUGAUCAGCCACACUGGCACUGACACACGGGCCAGACUCCUACGGGAGGCAGCAGUGAGGAAUUUUGCGCAAUGGGGGAAACCCUGACGCAGCAACGCCGCGUGGGUGAUGAAGGCCUUCGGGUCGUAAAGCCCUGUCGGGUGGGAAGAACCCCUCGGGAUCGAAUAGGUUUCGAGGCUGACGGUACCACCAAAGGAAGCACCGGCUAACUCCGUGCCAGCAGCCGCGGUAAUACGGAGGGUGCGAGCGUUAUUCGGAAUUACUGGGCGUAAAGGGCGUGCAGGCGGCCGAGCAAGUCUGAUGUGAAAGCCCGGGGCUUAACCCCGGAAGUGCAUUGGAAACUGCUCGGCUUGAGUACUGGAGAGGAAGGGAGAAUUCCCGGUGUAGAGGUGAAAUUCGUAGAGAUCGGGAGGAACACCAGUGGCGAAGGCGCCCUUCUGGACAGCUACUGACGCUGAGACGCGAAAGCGUGGGGAGCAAACAGGAUUAGAUACCCCGGUAGUCCACGCUGUAAACGAUGAUCACUGGGUGUAGCGGGUAAUCAUUCCUGCUGUGCCGUAGCUAACGCGUUAAGUGAUCCGCCUGGGGAGUACGGCCGCAAGGUUAAAACUCAAAGGAAUUGACGGGGGCCCGCACAAGCGGUGGAGCAUGUGGUUUAAUUCGACGCAACGCGAAGAACCUUACCUGGGUUUGACAUCCCCGGCCAACCCUGGAAACAGGGCCUUCCCCUUCGGGGGACCGGGUGACAGGUGCUGCAUGGCUGUCGUCAGCUCGUGUCGUGAGAUGAUGGGUUAAGUCCCGCAACGAGCGCAACCCCUGCCCUUAGUUGCCAUCAAUUCGGUUGGGCACUCUAAGGGGACUGCCGGUGUUAAACCGGAGGAAGGUGGGGAUGACGUCAAGUCCUCAUGGCCUUUAUAUCCAGGGCUACACACGUGCUACAAUGGACGGUACAAAGGGCAGCAAUCCCGCGAGGAGGAGCCAAUCCCAAAAAGCCGUCCACAGUUCGGAUCGGAGUCUGCAACUCGACUCCGUGAAGUUGGAAUCGCUAGUAACCGCGGAUCAGCACGCCGCGGUGAAUACGUUCCCGGGCCUUGUACACACCGCCCGUCACACCACGAAAGUCGGCUGUACCAGAAGUGCGUGGGCUAACUCGCAAGAGAGGCAGCGUACCAAGGUGUGGUCGGUAAUUGGGGUGAAGUCGUAACAAGGUA